CUCUCAAUCACGCACGCUAUCUCUCAGUCACUCAUUCUUGUCUCCCUCAACCAGUUUCUCCCUCUCUCAGUCAUUCUCAAUCUCCCUUUCACGAUUUUUUUAUUUAUGUUUCAGGUAUGAAUAUAUGGAAACGGUGCAGAUCAGAAGCUUUAAGAUCUGUGGAAGUUUCAAGGUCAUCUUGUUCAAGAGAUCAGAUCUUCUCAACUGGGAUUCUUGUGAUUUAGCACUGUCAGAUCUGUUUCUUUUUUCUGUGUAGUGCAGACACUCACUGAUAUCUUGUGCAACCAGCUUGAAAAAAAUGAGCUUAAACUGAACUCAAAGGUUUUGUCACUAUCUUACAGUCAGGGUGGGGUCUUUUCCCCAAGGCAAUUCAAUUUCACCAUAUCCUAUGAUUUAGGAUACAAGUGAACUUUAAAAUUUUCAUUUAUAGAUGUUGGAUUCUUAAGUGCUCUUUUUAUAGGUGGAUUUUAAAGUAAUCUUUUUGAUCAUAUAUGAUGUGGGUUCUCUUUGAUUUAUUUAGUGGUUUGCUUGAUCUUUGUUUGUUCGGCAGCUCAUGAAGAGACAUGGUGCUAAACAUGGAGAUUACUAUUGAAGAUUUGAAUGCUUCUCAAUCAAGACUAAUUUUUGUGAAUUACUUGUUUUGAUUUGGAUUUUCUUUUAACUUCGAAAAUAUGCAGAUUGUGAUUGAGAUUACUCUCACAAUCUGCUAUGGACUGUAAAUAAUGAUUUCUGUGAUUGAGAUCAUCCACCAAAUAUGCAAAUUGUGAUUGAGAUUACUCUCACAAUUUGCUAUGGACUGUAAUUAUUAAUUUCUGUAUUUUGAGAUGUGUGGUGGAUGAUUUGCUAUGGUUUUAAGGUUUUUUUUAAGUAUUUGAAUGAUGAAAAAACUUUAGAUAUGCAGAGUUGGAGAAA